rnacentral:rRNA from 1 species
UGGGGAAUAUUGGACAAUGGGCGCAAGCCUGAUCCAGCCAUGCCGCGUGAGUGACGAAGGCCUUAGGGUUGUAAAGCUCUUUUUGGCGGGGACGAUAAUGACGGUACCCGCAGAAUAAGCCCCGGCUAACUUCGUGCCAGCAGCCGCGGUAAUACGAAGGGGGCUAGCGUUGUUCGGAUUUACUGGGCGUAAAGCGCAUGUAGGCGGGCCGUUAAGUUAGGGGUGAAAUCCCGAGGCUCAACCUCGGAACUGCCUCUAAAACUGGCGGCCUGGACCUAAGUAGAGGCAAGUGGAAUUGCGAGUGUAGAGGUGAAAUUCGUAGAUAUUCGCAGGAACACCAGUGGCGAAGGCGACUUGCUGGACUUAUGGUGACGCUGAGAUGCGAAAGCGUGGGGAGCAAACAGGAUUAGAUACCCCGGUAGUCCCUGAGCGGGCUGGCAAGGCGCAU